GCCAGACUCCUACGGGAGGCAGCAGUGGGGGAUAUUGCACAAUGGGGGGAACCCUGAUGCAGCGACGCCGCGUGGGUGAAGGAGUGCUUCGGCAUGUAAAGCCCUAUCGGCAGGGAAGAAGCAAGACGGUACCUGACUAAGAAGCCCCGGCUAACUACGUGCCAGCAGCCGCGGUAAUACGUAGGGGGCGAGCGUUAUCCGGAUUCACUGGGCGUAAAGGGAGCGCAGGCGGCACGGCAAGUCCGGUGUGAAAGCCCGGGGCCCAACCCCGGGACUGCACUGGAAACUGCCGGGCUGGAGUGUCGGAGGGGCAGGCGGAAUUCCUAGUGUAGCGGUGAAAUGCGUAGAUAUUAGGAGGAACACCGGUGGCGAAGGCGGCUUUCUGGACUGAAACUGACGCUGAGGCACGAAAGCGUGGGGAGCGAACAGGAUUAGAUACCCCAGUAC
rnacentral:rRNA from 1 species